GGAGACAUAAACAUACACACACACACCGUGUCUAGCUCUGAGAGUUUCGGAGCUGAAACAUAAGCGGAUGUAAAACGUAUCUAUGAAAAUGGGAGGAAUCAAAUACUUGACUGGAAAGUGUCAACACCACAAUUAGUUGGAGACCUGAACUGGAGGAGGAGCAGCAGCCUGUUUGAAGCAAAGGAGGUGUUGCAGCACCAAGAGGAGGAGCCUGACACCCGGGAGGCGGAGCCUGACACCAGGGAGCCGGAGACCUGAACUGGAGGAGGAGCAGCAGCCUGUUUGAAGCAAAGGAGGUGUUGCAGCACCAAGAGGAGGAGCCUGACACCCGGGAGGCGGAGCCUGACACCAGGGAGCCGAUAUCAUCAUUUCUUGGGGACUUUGGGAAUUAACUACCAGCACUGUGCAAAUAGUUGUCACGUACAAACGUGAAUAGAAUUUGAAUCUGUUUUUUUGUGAGCCCUUUCAUCACGGGUUUAAUGAAUCUUCUUUUUUGUAAGGGCAAGGUUAUGUUAUGUUAUGUUAUGAAAGAAUCCGACUUAAAUGGGAAUCUUGCCACAAAUUGUGGGUUUUGAACCCCUGAACCAAUCAACUUGCAAUGUUUUUUUUUCACCCAAGACUCAAAGCAAGACUUUAGGA